rnacentral:lncRNA from 1 species
GAGGAACGUGGUGAUUGAUAUCAUGGCAGACUUCACCAUUGUAUUUUGUAUCGACGUUAGAUGUAUCAUUAUUUCCGCUGCUUUUGAACUCUGAACACUACUUUUAUGCAUUUGAACUAUUAGCUUGUAGUAACUUAAUUUGGGACCCGUAAUAAUUAUCUGGAUUGUUGGAAUCUCUGGAUUCGUCUUCGUGUGAGUAUGCUUUGUUUCGAUCUAAAACCAUUGGUUGUAUCGGGUGAAACCCGACAGACUACCAUUUUAAUUCGAUUAAAGUGUCUAUUCGCAUUUAAGGCGAUGUUGAUUACACUUUAGCCGAGUUAACUUGGGUGGUUCUACCACAGCUACGUCUGUAGCCAUGUGUACUAUCCCCUAGUACCAAGACAGUCCAACGGUCGCACAAGCUCUCAAGUUCCAC